UUAUUGGACCAACUUCUGCUGGUUAGAGAGACAAGCUUUUAAGCUUACCCAGAGCUGCUCUUUAGGUCUCGGAAAGGUCAUCAAGUGUGGAGGGUUU